rnacentral:tRNA from 1 species
GUGGCUGUGGCUCAGUGGUAGAGGCUCGCCCUGCACCCGUGGGGCACUGGGUUCAAACCUCAGCACCACA